rnacentral:ncRNA from 2 species
UCGUCACGCCACGGGAGUCCGCCUAGGCGGGCUGAGAGGAGGGGCGUGCCCUCGACCGUCCGCACCUGAUCCGGGUCAUGCCGGCGCAGGAAGGUCCUCGUGGUGCGUC